rnacentral:rRNA from 1 species
CCUACGGGUGGCAGCAGUGAGGAAUAUUGGUCAAUGGGCGGGAGCCUGAACCAGCCAAGUCGCGUGAGGGAAGACGGUCCUAUGGAUUGUAAACCUCUUUAGGCGGGGAGCAAUGCCGGGCACGCGUGCCCGGAGGGAGAGUACCCGCAGAAUAAGCAUCGGCUAACUCCGUGCCAGCAGCCGCGGUAGUACGGAGGAUGCGAGCGUUAUCCGGAUUUAUUGGGUGUAAAGGGUGCGUAGGCGGAGUUUUAAGUCAGCGGUAAAAUGUCCGGGCUCAACCCGGGCCGGCCGUUGAAACUGGGGAUCUUGAGUGGGCGAGAAGUAUGCGGAAUGCGUGGUGUAGCGGUGAAAUGCAUGGAUAUUAGGAGGAACACCAGUGGCGAAGGCGGUCUGCUGGACAGCAACUGACGGUGAGGCGCGAAAGCGUGGGGAGCAAACAGGAUUAGAUACCCUUGUAGUC